GAUGAAGAACGCAGUGAAAUGCGAUAAGUAAUGCGAAUUGCAGAAUUCAGUGAAUCAUCGAAUCUUUGAACGCACAUUGCGCCUGCCAGUAUUCUGGCGGGCAUGCCUGUCCGAGCGUCAUUUCAACCCUCGAGCCCCUCCGGGGGGUCGGCGUUGGGGAUCGGCCCUCCCUCGCGGGGGCCGCCCCCGAAAUGCAGUGGCGGUCCCGCCGCAGCCUCUCCUGCGCAGUAGUUUGCACAACUCGCACCGGGAGCGCGGCGGGCCCACGCCGUAAAACGACACAACCUUCUGGAAAUGUUGACCUCGGAUCAGGUAGGAAUACCCGCUGAACUUAAGCAUAUCAAUAAGCGGAGGA
rnacentral:misc_RNA from 1 species